UAAAGAUUCAUCGCUGAUAGAUAGGCAUGCGUUCCAUUAGGCAGUUGGCGGGGUAACGGCCCACCAAACCGACGAUGGAUAGGGGUUCUGAGAGGAAGGUCCCCCACAUUGGUACUGAGACACGGACCAAACUCCUACGGGAGGCAGCAGUGAGGAAUAUUGGUCAAUGGGCGUAAGCCUGAACCAGCCAAGUCGCGUGAGGGAUGAAGGUUCUAUGGAUCGUAAACCUCUUUUAUAAGGGAAUAAAGUGUGGGACGUGUCCUAUUUUGUAUGUACCUUAUGAAUAAGGAUCGGCUAACUCCGUGCCAGCAGCCGCGGUAAUACGGAGGAUCCGAGCGUUAUCCGGAUUUAUUGGGUUUAAAGGGUGCGUAGGCGGCCUUUUAAGUCAGCGGUGAAAGUCUGUGGCUCAACCAUAGAAUUGCCGUUGAAACUGGGGGGCUUGAGUACGUUUGAGGCAGGCGGAAUGCGUGGUGUAGCGGUGAAAUGCUUAGAUAUCACGCAGAACCCCGAUUGCGAAGGCAGCCUGCCAAGCCAUGACUGACGCUGAUGCACGAAAGCGUGGGGAUCAAACAGGAUUAGAUACCCUGGUAGUCCACGCAGUAAACGAUGAUCACUAGCUGUUUGCGAUACAGUGUAA
rnacentral:rRNA from 1 species